GUGCUCCACAUCGGCACGUCCAUCACAGUGGGCUCCGGGUCCUCGACCCUAUUCUUGUUCGAUCGCUGGUUAGGGGACUCACCCUUGGUCGCUCGAUUUCCGGAUCUAUUCGCCAUAGCGGUUGACCCUCAGGUCUCUGUCGAGACGGCCCUUAUUGACUUAGGGUGUCUUACCUUCCGGCGCCCCUUCGGUCCCCUUGAGGUUGCCGCGUGGGAUUCCCUCCUCCGGGAUAUCGCUCUUCUUCUGAUGGACAUUAAGGGUGCCCCUGACUCCAUCUCUUGGCGACUGGAGCCAUCCGGCCGCUUCUCCACUAAAUCCUUAUACGCGGCCAUCGCACCCUCGUCGGCCCCUGAGCCCUUUAGCCUGAUCUGGGACAUUCGCCUCCCACUGAAGAUCAGGAUCUUCCUGUGGCAGUGGAUUCGGGGACGCCAUCCCUCUGGGGUAGAGAUACUCAAGCGUAAUGGACCAGGAGAUGGGAUGUGUCCCCUGUGCGGCAUGGUGGAGGAUACUAACCACAUCUUCUUCUCCUGA
rnacentral:rRNA from 1 species